rnacentral:tRNA from 1 species
GACUGUUUGGCUGAGUGGUCUAAGGUGCCAUAUUUAGGCUUUCAUACGAAAUGGCAUGGGUUCAAAUCCCACAACUGUCA